rnacentral:rRNA from 1 species
AUUGAACGCUGGCGGCAGGCCUAACACAUGCAAGUCGAGCGGAGCGGCUGACGGGUGAGUAAUGCCUAGGAAUCUGCCUGGUAGUGGGGGAUAAAGUCCGGAAACGGGCGCUAAUACCGCAUACUAUCAGAUGAGCCUAGUUGGGAUUAGCUAGUUGGUGGGUUAAAGGUCUACAAAGGCGACGAUCCGUAACUGGUCUGAGAGGAUGAUCAGUCACACUGGAACGGAGACACGGUCCAGACUCCUACGGGAGGCAGCAGUGGGGAAUAUUGGAAAAUGGGCGAAAGCCUGAUCAAGCCAUGCCGCGUGUGUGAAGAAGGUUUUCGGAUUGUAAAGCACUGUAAGUAGGGAGGCGUUACCAACAGAAUAAGCACCGGCUAACUUCGUGCCAGCAGCCGAGGUAAGAC